rnacentral:misc_RNA from 1 species
GAUGAAUAACGUAGCGAAAUGCGAUACGUAAUGUGAAUUGCAGAAUUCAGUGAAUCAUCGAGUCUUUGAACGCACAUUGCGCCCCCUGGUAUUCCGGGGGGCAUGCCUGUCCGAGCGUCAUUGCUGCCCUCAAGCACGGCUUGUGUGUUGGGCCUCCGUCCUCCUCCCGGGGGACGGGCCCGAAAGGCAGCGGCGGCACCGCGUCCGGUCCUCGAGCGUAUGGGGCUUCGUCACCCGCUCUUGUAGGCCCGGCCGGCGCUUGCCGACACAUCAAUCUUUUUUCCAGGUUGACCUCGGAUCAGGUAGGGAUACCCGCUGAACUUAAGCAUAUCAAUAAGCGGAGGA